rfam:Beta vulgaris subsp. vulgaris Bvchr3.sca003.con0067.1, whole genome shotgun sequence.
AAGAAGAGAGCUUGUCAAGAUAGCCAAGGAUACUGCCUACCACCUUUGUAUUUUUGAUUAAGAGUGUAAUUAAUUACUCUUAAUCAAAAUCUUAUUACUAAUCAAGAGGUAGGCAAGUCAUCCUUGGCUACCAAACAAUUAUAUAACUCUCAACU